GCCUUUUCUACAGUGAUGUUAUUGAUCAAUGUGCAGCUGCUAUUACUCUUAAAGCUUUGGAUGCCGUCUACCGUAGUGCCCUUUGUUUUGUUACAGCAGACAGUUUUGAUACUCAUCACUGCAUUCUGUAUCAAAAGACACCUGAGUUGUCUGACCGUUCACAGGAUUGGUUAACUUUUGAGGUUCCUAGGGUCUCCACCGAGCUAGAAUUUGGCAGUAUGUCCAACCGGCCUCACAACCGCAGACCAUGUGUAACCACGCCAGCCCAGGACCUCCACAUCCGGCUUCUUCACCUGCAGGAUCACCUCAUACCAGCCACCCGGACAGCUUAUGCAACUGAGGAGUAUUUCUGUCUGUAAUUAAGCACUUUUGGGGGGAAAAACUGAUUCUGAUUGGCUGGGUCUGGCUUCCAAGUGGGUGGGCCUGGUUCCCAAGUGGGUGGGCCUAUGCUGCACCCCUGCCCUGUCAUGUGAAAUCCAUAGAUUUAUUUAAAUUGACUGAUUUCCUUAUUUGAACUGUAACUCGUAUUGUUGUUGCAACAAUUUAUAUUUUUGUUCAGUAUAAGAUACCUGUAGCUAGCUAGCUACCUAUUAGCCAUCAUAUUGCUAGCUUUCGUUUCAGCACCUUGCUUGACUGAUCUGUCUUAGCAACAGUAACUAUACGGCGGAGUUGUGGGAGAGAAUUUUUGUUACAUUUUUUAUUUAUUUUAUUAACAACAAAUCAAUACAGGAAGUACAUGUGGGAACACAAUUAUAUAUGAAUAAUAUACAAUGGACAAUUGGGCUAGGGGCGGG
rnacentral:lncRNA from 1 species